rnacentral:rRNA from 1 species
CAGUAGCCACGGUAAUACGGAGGGAGCUAGCGUUGUUCGGAAUUACUGGGCGUAAAGCGCACGUAGGCGGUUAUUCAAGUCAGAGGUGAAAGCCCGGGGCUCAACCCCGGAACUGCCUUUGAAACUGGAUGACUAGAAUCUUGGAGAGGUCAGUGGAAUUCCGAGUGUAGAGGUGAAAUUCGUAGAUAUUCGGAAGAACACCAGUGGCGAAGGCGACUGACUGGACAAGUAUUGACGCUGAGGUGCGAAAGCGUGGGGAGCAAACAGGAUUAGAUACCCGUGUAGUCCCUGUCUCUUAUAA